rnacentral:lncRNA from 1 species
GUGGAUCAGCGCAGCAAAAAGGCCGUCGAUGGCAAGGAUCCAUUUUUCGAGCUUGUCACGCUCCGGACUGGUGGGGUUUUCACGAAAGACCAGCUUGAGUCGGAGCUGGAGAACCUCGUCAACUGUGGCAUGUUCCAGACCGUGGAGAUGGAAGGCGUCACUCAGGCUGAUGGGACUAUAAAGAUCAACAUCAACUUUGUCGAGAGCCAGUGGCAAGCGGCGAAAAGUGUGCGGUGUAUCAACGUUGGGCUGUUGGCUCAGACCAAGCAACCCGAUUUUAACAGCAUGACCGAGAAGCAGCAGCAGGAAUAUCUUGGGAAGCAAGAAGAAGAGUACAAGAAGCGGGUGAGGAAAGCCAGGAAGUGCAUGCUACCGAGAAGGAUCGAGCAGGAAAUUUCGGGCUGGCUGUCUGCCGAGUCUCGUGUUACUGCGAGAAUGCUGCAGAGAAUCCGGGAGAGAAUACAGAAGUGGUAUCACGAUGAAGGCUAUGCGUGCGCUCAAGUCGUCAACUUCGGAAACCUCAAUACGAACGAAAUAGUCUGUGAAGUAGUGGAAGGGGACAUCACAGACGUGCAAAUAAUGUUCCAGGACAAGAUGGGGCUUCCAGUUGAAGGGAACACUCAAGUCCCUAUCAUAGAGAGACAGGUAUUGCUUGUUUUUUUUCUCUGGUGGUUCUCAUUUGUUGUUUUUGCUGGAUGCAGCUUAGCUCCGGGAAGAUCUUCAACAUUGAAGCGGGCAAGAAAGCUUGCGCAACAUCAACAAUCUUUCCCUCUUUCUAACAUUGAAGUGAAUCCAAGGCAGAUCGAGGGAGGUAUUAUAGUGGAAGUGAAGUUGAAGGAGCUCGAGCAGAAAACUGCUGAGAUCAGCACCGAGUGGAGAGUGCCAGGGAAUUCUGGACGUCCAACCCUGGUGAGUCACUUUAUAUCCAAACCGUCUUCACUGCUUAUGCGGUUUCGUUGAUACAGGCCUCGAUCCAGCCAGGUUGUAACGUAACCUUUGAGCGUCGGAAUAUCAAAAGCUUAAACCGCACAUUGAUUUGUACUGUCACUUCGAAUAAUCUCUUCAAUCCCCAGGUCCGGUACUUCCCUCUCAGAGCUUUUUGAUAUUUACGCACCGCAAUGUGGAUUUGUAGGAUGACUUAGGAUUCAAGAUGGAAUAUCUCGACGGUUUGACCGAUCCCAGGGAGCGUACGCUCAAGGCUAGCCGUUUUAACAGUCGCAAAGUCAGUGAGGUGUUUACUGGAGGUCCCGGUUUGGAAGACGUGCCUGGUAUAUGGGUCAAUCGAGCUUAACCGAGGUAAUUGUGAAGCUUGCUUGGCUUGUUAUAUACUCACUACUUACCUCGUCCAGAAGUUCACCAGGCAGAGCAAGCUGACGUAUGGAUUUGUCAUGGAGGAAGUCACAACGCGUGACGAGAACAGUGCCAUUUGCACUAAUGGAGCUCGCGUGCUUCCAAGCGGGGCUGGACGGUCCCCCGACUACUCACAGCGACACCGGGACUGACCGGGUGGGAUUUUUCCAGGCCAAUCUCACACAUGACAACACGAAGUUCGUCCAAUGGCUCGAGGAACAUCUUCCAGGUAAGAAGUGUAUGGGAAAUUAGCGCUCUUUCUCACUGCUUCCUGGUAUGAUAUUAAAACAGCUCGAUCAAGGACUGGGAAAGGUUUCCAUUUUUCAAUCGACACCAACUCACAUUGACUCGGUUUAUAAAACUGGGGACCGAAGAUAGACACGGCGAGCAGCCGGUCACUACGGAGGCUGCAUUGGCGAUCUUCCAAGCUAUGAUGCUUUCACUCUUGGAGGACCUUACUCCUGAGAUGGUUCUUUAUCAGAGACCCUGCUGCUGCGCUAGAGCUACUGCUAAUCUCCUAGACUCCCAUCCCCUGGGGCAAUGCUGCUCCAUAUUUGGCGCAUUCUUCUCGGCGGCAACUGAUCCCCUGACCGUGAAAUCCGCCGCUGUCGCCCGGAGCUUCUGAUACCAGCUCGACCGCUGCUCCCUUCCUCCUCACGUUUUCUUUUUUCUUUUAUUUUUUGAAAAUUUGUGUUAGAACCAAACCUUUUUUGUUCUUCUCUGCUUCACACGCAGUUAGAACCAAACGCCUUUGUUAGACUGUUUAGAAUGGGAUGAGAUGUAGAUGCAUGCCAAUGUUUGUUGUUGCAUCGCAUCACAACGUAUUUCUUACGCUGUCUACCUACACCGAGUCAAGGUAGAAGAGUCCCACGCGGCACGACUGACUUCGGUGUGAUUUAUUUCAAGGCCCUAUCCAGAGUUUCUCAUACAUUAUCUCUACUUUGGCUAACACAUGGACACAGUAGUGGUGCUGCUAUUUCUUUUCCCUGUGAUUGUCAUGGGCAUGAGGUAUGAGCUUCCACCUGACUGGUAUUUUCGACAAUUGCCAGGCACCAAUCAUAGAAAUUAUUCAGUUUUUAUGAACACCACUGAAGGCUUUGAAAUCAUGAAGGCCGGGGGCAAAGAUAUUGUCAGUGACAAUGGGAAUUUCUCACUUGCAUCACACGAUCAAGAAGAAUACCUGCUAUUGCAUAUGAAUCGCUCAAUCUAUCCUUUAUCCAUUCGAUUUCCGUUAGAAUAUGCAGCUUCCCUAGUGUUACAAAACUCUGGAAAUGUCCUCAUUUAUUUUUACAACGGCAGUGUGUGGCAAAGUUUCGAUUUUCCCUCAGAAUUUCUCCUCCCAACCCAAAUUUUGAAAACAGGAAUGCGCAUAAUGAGCAACGACUAUGAGACUCUUGUUAUUGUCCAAGAUGAGGGACUGUUUUGGAUUUCUCUCUCUGAGUUAUAUGAAGGACAAUUCCAACACCACCAAGCAUAUCAAGCGUGGCGAUUUACUUCUACAUGUGAAGGCUCAACCUCAACUUUUCUUCAGUACACUGGGAGCAAUUUGACCCUCUCCAAUGAUUGUGAGCAGCUAUCAUUAACGACUUCAACUGAAUCAAGUACUCCUCUUUUGCCAUUCUUGCAUUUUGAUUCAGAUGGGAGCAUCACAUCUUAUAAGUAUGAAGGAAAUCAAUGGAUAAAGGAUAUUCGGCUAACGGAAUACUCAAACCAGAUAAAAUCAUGGCCAGGAAAUCCUGCAUGUAACGAUUGUUCUCAAUAUGGUAUCUGCAAUACCCACAAUGGAAGCUGCAGCUGCUUGAAGCCCGAUGAACAUCAAAUGUGUGAGUUAUACACUCGUUCUGGGUCCUUACCAAGGGGUUUUUGGAGGGAGCAUUCUUAUCUAAGUUCUUGCUCCAAUUUUGACUUCUUCGGAGAACAAUAUCCUAACUACAUUGUCAUGAAAGAGACGUUUCCUGAUAUUGGAUAUUAUAGAACUGAAUUCAUGCAGCCCAACCAAAGGAAUUCCUCUCUAGAGAAGUGCACAGAAGCCUGCUUUGAUAUGAAUUGUAGCAGCUGUAUGUCACUUAUUUUCAAUGGCGAUACCAAGGACUGCUUCUUCAUUGUUCAUGAUAUAUAUGGGAGCUUCUACAGAGAUGACACUACAAAAAAUAUAACUCUUAUCAUCAAAACACUGAAGGCUCACCAUCAACCGAAACUUUACAUUAUAUCUCUUACCAUGACUUGCACAGUGAUAUUCCUAUGCUUCCUAGCGGUAUGUGCUCUUGCAUUUAAUGAGCGCAAGCUCAAGUUCAAUCCGGCAAAGGAGAUUGAAGCGUUGUUGGCUAGUAUGCAAGGCCGUUUGCCUCAGAGAUUCUCAUAUACGACAUUGGAUACUGCGACAAAAGGAUAUAGCACAAAGCUGGGAGCUGGGGGAUAUGGAUCAGUUUACAAAGGAGUUUUGAGUGAUGGUAGAGUUGUGGCAGUCAAGAAGCUUGACUACAGUGGAACGCAAGGGGCAAAACAGUUUGUGACCGAGAUUGCUGGAAUUGGAGGCAUAAGUCAUGUAAACAUUGUUAAACUUUGUGGCUUUUGCAUCGAGGGAGCAACACAGUGGCUGCUGGUUUACGAAUUUAUGCCCAAUGGAUCACUCGACAAAUGGCUUUUCGAGCAAACUUCAGAGAAUUUAUGGCUCAGUUGGCAGCAGAGGAUCGACAUUGCCCUUGGCACGGCUCAAGGACUUGCGUAUCUUCACGAGGAAUGCAGGGAGCCCAUACUGCACUUGGACAUCAAGCCCCAAAACAUUCUGUUGGACACAGAGUUUGUCGCAAAGGUGGCGGACUUUGGGAUGGCAAAGCUGCUUGAGAACCGCAACGAGACGCAGGUCAUGACGACCAUGCGGGGCACUCCAGGCUACAUGGCUCCCGAAUGGCUCACACAUUUCAUGGCUACAAAGAGAUGCGACGUUUACAGCUAUGGAAAGGUGCUUUUGGAACUAAUUGGGGGUCGUAGGAACAUUGAUCUCUCAAAGGCUGUGAACUUUGGGGACAACACUCAGCCGGACGAGAGCUGGUAUUUUCCAACUUGGGUGGUGAACCAGGUGGAGAAGGGGAAUUUUCUCGAAGUGAUUGACGAGAGGGUGAGAGCAAGUGCCAGUGAAAACUAUCAGCAGGCCAAGAAAAUGGUUCAUCUUGCACUGUGGUGCAUUCAAGACAAUGCUGAUUCUCGGCCAUCCAUGAGGACAAUAGUGGAAGUGUUGCAAGGGCAUUUGGAUUUGGGUUCUGCUCCUUUGAUAGCAAAAGUGGCAUUUCGUUGAUGUUUGAAAUAAUAUAAACUUAUUAUGUAAUACAAAAGUUGUGGUGGGAUGAGGACUGAAAGUCAUACAAAUGGAGCCGCAUAUUUGAAGCAGAAAAUUACCUCCAAAAACAAGUGCUUCAAGAUUGCACCACUUGUGGAGACUUUUCUUUGGAAGACUGGACCAUUUUUUAGCUCCGGAGACCCUUCUCCUAGAGACUGGACGACUUUUUAGCUCAUGUAGUCAUUCAAAGUGAAUAAAUUAUCUUGUAUUUUAUGUGAUCUGAAUCCAAACUUCAAAUUUGCUCUCAUAGCUCAGAUGGUCAGAGCACCCGUUUAGUAAGCGGGAGGUCCUGAGUUCAACUCUCAGUGAAAGCAUUCAAAUUAAGUCAUUUUCUCUGAUAUGUAUUUUUUGUUUUCACCAAUGGAGGUUUAGGGUUUGCUGGGCGAGGAUCGAAAUAUCUCAAAGAGCGCGAGGUAGGGUUUAGGCGAUGAUCCAUUAGUUCGCGACAGCGGCGGAGAGUGGAUUCGUGGCCGCCAUGCCUUGCGCCAUGGUCUCCGGCCUCGCGGGGCAUCACCGAGCCGUCGAAUCGAUCGCCUGCUCGUCCUCGUUUCCAUCCUGGCAGCAGCAGCGAAAGGGGGGGAUUUCCAUCAAAACCAGGGCCUUCGCCCCGUGGCUCCGCUUUACCAAGCCUCCUCCUUCCUCGUCCUCAGCCUCCUCGGGUAAGAGUAGCAGCAGCAGGAGAAAAUCCAGAAAGCUAGAGCCCGGCAAUGGUGGAUUUAAGAAAAAUGUAGCUUUGGCCUCUCUAGCUUUGGGAGCCAAUGCUAUGAUCUUGCUGGGUGGUGGUGGUGGUGAAUUUGGAGGCUUCGGUGGAGGUGGUGGAGGAGGAGGCGGCGGCGGCGGCGGUGGUGGUGGCGGAGGCUUUGGAGGAGGACCUGGUGGUGGAAAUUGGCUGUGGGAGCUUCUGUGCGCGGCGAUUGGGGGCAGUGGUGCCAGGGCCGACGAUAAAAACAGUGGAGAUUGGGAUCCUCACGGUGCUAAAGUCGGCCUCACGGCACCGGUAAGCCGGCUCAGCCCCAACAAGAAGUACAAGCUUUCCGGCGUCGAUCUCGUGGAUCAGCGCAGCAAAAAGGCCGUCGAUGGCAAGGAUCCAUUUUUCGAGCUUGUCACGCUCCGGACUGGUGGGGUUUUCACGAAAGACCAGCUUGAGUCGGAGCUGGAGAACCUCGUCAACUGUGGCAUGUUCCAGACCGUGGAGAUGGAAGGCGUCACUCAGGCUGAUGGGACUAUAAAGAUCAACAUCAACUUUGUCGAGAGCCAGUGGCAAGCGGCGAAAAGUGUGCGGUGU